UAUGGAUGCUACAUUUUCUUU
rnacentral:piRNA from 1 species